rnacentral:rRNA from 1 species
AUGCAAAGGCAUUUCAGAAUGGAGGCUUACAUCUUUCAUGCUCUGGUUGAGAAGUUGCGUGAGAAUGAAAUACUUGAAGAUUCAACAAUAGUCUCCUUGGAAGAAAAGGUUGGGAUAUUUUUAUAUGCAGUUGCAAAAAAUGCCAGUAAUGAAACCUUGCAGGAUAGGUUCCAGCACAGUGGGCAAACCAUCAGUCGACACUUUGGAGAUGUACUAGAGGCAAUUACAAAGCUUGCAAGCAUCUAUAUACGCCCACCUUCUCUUCGACCACAUCCAAUCUUGAGGAGAUCACAUUUCCAUCCCUACUUCAAUGUAAGCAUACAUUUUCAUAUAUUUCUGACUUUGUAUUGGUAA